AUUGAACGCUGGCGGCAGGCCUAACACAUGCAAGUCGAACGGUAACAGGAAGAAGCUUGCUUCUUUGCUGACGAGUGGCGGACGGGUGAGUAAUGUCUGGGAAACUGCCUGAUGGAGGGGGAUAACUACUGGAAACGGUAGCUAAUACCGCAUAACGUCGCAAGACCAAAGAGGGGGACCUCCGGGCUCUUUGCCACCGGUUGUGCCCAGAUGGGAUUAGCUAGUAGGUGGGGUAACGGCUCACCUAGGCGACGAUCCCUAGCUGGUCUGAGAGGAUGACCAGCCACACUGGAACUGAGACACGGUCCAGACUCCUACGGGUGGCAGCAGUGGGGAAUAUUGCACAAUGGGCGCAAGCCUGAUGCAGCCAUGCCGCGUGUAUGAAGAAGGCCUUCGGGUUGUAAAGUACUUUCAGCGGGGAGGAAGGGAGUAAAGUUAAUACCUUUGCUCAUUGACGUUACCCGCAGAAGAAGCACCGGCUAACUCCGUG
rnacentral:rRNA from 1 species